UACGGGGGGGGCAAGCGUUGUUCGGAAUUACUGGGCGUAAAGGGCGCGUAGGCGGCCUGCUAAGUCGAACGUGAAAUCCCUGGGCUCAACCCAGGAACUGCGUCCGAUACUGGUUGGCUUGAAUCCGGGAGAGGGACGUGGAAUUCCAGGUGUAGCGGUGAAAUGCGUAGAUAUCGGGAGGAACACCAGUGGCGAAGGCGGCGACCUGGACAGAUAUUGACGCUGAGGUGCGAAAGCGUGGGGAGCAAACAGGG
rnacentral:rRNA from 1 species